rnacentral:tRNA from 1 species
AUUUAUAUAAUUUAAUAAAAAUAUUACAUUUUCACUGUAAAAAUAGAUUUUUAUCUUAUAAAUA